rnacentral:rRNA from 1 species
CCUACGGGUUGCACCAGUGGGGAAUAUUGCACAAUGGGCGCAAGCCUGAUGCAGCCAUGCCGCGUGUAUGAAGAAGGCCUUCGGGUUGUAAAGUACUUUCAGCGGGGAGGAAGGCAAUACGGUUAAUAACCGUGUUGAUUGACGUUACCCGCAGAAGAAGCACCGGCUAACUCCGUGCCAGCAGCCGCGGUAAUACGGAGGGUGCAAGCGUUAAUCGGAAUUACUGGGCGUAAAGCGCACGCAGGCGGUCUGUCAAGUCGGAUGUGAAAUCCCCGGGCUCAACCUGGGAACUGCGUUCGAAACUGGCGGGCUUGAGUCUUGUAGAGGGGGGUAGAAUUCCAGGUGUAGCGGUGAAAUGCGUAGAGAUCUGGAGGAAUACCGGUGGCGAAGGCGGCCCCCUGGACAAAGACUGACGCUCAGGUGCGAAAGCGUGGGGAGCAAACAGGAUUAGAUACCCUCGUAGUC